GUGGAGAUAUUAAUUGGGGAGCCGAUUGCCACCUGUCUUUCUCCUUCAGUGUAUGACAUGAUCUGUAAACUUGGGUUUGAAGUCAGAGAAAAUUGCGACAUCAGUAGUAUUGUAACUCAAAACGGUGAAGUAUGCUGGAAGAAAAUUACAGACUGCAUGGUUUAUACAGAAUCAGCCCAGGGUCUGGACCACCGGGAAAGCGUGCGGCUGCUGGGCCCCGUGUGCCAGGCCGUCCACCUGUAUCUGUCGUCUCUGCCCAAGGGGGAGUUUGAAGUUCAGUACGCACCAGCGCUCCAGUGGACAGGUGUUCCAGAGUUAUUUCCUGAAAUACUUGACGCCUUGAGAAGUCUUGAAUCUCCCAGUAUUUCUCUCAGCCUCAUGAAGCUCACGUCCUGUCUGGAGCGAGCCCUGGGUGACGUAUAUUUACUGAUUGGGAAGGACUGCCCCUUUCUUUUAAGAGACCUGCUCGCAUCUGAGGAACUUGCUCAAGUCUUCGGGCAGCCUGUGAUGGACGUGCUCAAGGUCUUCGUGGGCUCCCCGCGUGGGCUCAACCUCCGCAACGUCCUGUGGCACGGCUUCGCGGCCCCUCGGGAGGUUCCGCCCAAAUACUGCUCGAUGAUGCUGCUGCUGACAGCAGGCUUGGGCCAGCUGCUGAAGGGCUUCCUUCAACAGGCGAACCUCACGUUGGCGCAUCGGCCUUUCGUGACCCUCGCGAGCGUAGAGGAUCUGAUUGUCUUUCCUGAUGUCCCUUCGGAGGUGCUUUCCGUAUUAGAAGAAGUGAUGAAGAAGUCCACUUUUAUACUGAAAAUCAUGUUGCCGUAUUGGGAAGUUGCAUUAACCAAGUUAAAGUCUCACAGGUUUGCUGACUGUGCCAUUUUACUGUUGGUGCAGCUGGAGACUGGACUCAGGAAGGCGUUUGCUGAAGUUAACGAGUGUCCAAAGAGGCUUCUCACUGCUGAGUCAACAGCUCUUUAUACUACCUUCGAUAUAUUGGCAAAACACUUGAAUGAUGGUAAAAUCAACCAACUUCCUCUUUUCCUGGGAGAACCUGCAAUGGAAUUUCUCUGGGAUUUCCUAAACCAUCAGGAGGGUCCCCGUCUAAGAGAUCGGCUAAGCCACGGGGAAGUCAGUUUACCUGAAUUUCCGAAAGAAGCAGCCGGUCAGCUGCUUGCGUUUUCCUUUGUCCUUUUACUCAGGUUUAUUGAUGGAGAUCUGUUAGCAGCGUGUAAGGAAAAGGCAGCGGUGAGGUCACUGAUUAACCUUGCAGCAACCUACGUUUCUCGCUGCCACCCAGCUUCUCAGCUUAAAAAACAGGUGCUGAGCUGUGAGGGGAGCAUCGGAGCUUGGCCUCUGUUGCCUUUGCCCGAAGAACAGAAAGGGAGCCUACCAGAAGGUGAUUCUGAGACAGAUGCCUGCAGCUCUUUAAUCACAGAGAUCGUGGCCGAGCUGUGUUGCCGUGCGCCUGAGACACACCGCGCUGCCCACCUCUCAGGGCCCCUUCCUCCUGAGCAUAUAAAGCUUCUGUCUCCGAUGCUUUACCUGAUUUUAUUGCUGAUUGCACUGGAAUUGAUCAACAUUCACAUGGUUCUUGGGAAGAAUGCUUCAGAAUACCAGCAGUACCUGAGGUUCUUGAAGUGUGUCUUGCAGUACGCAGAGAACGUGGCAGCCUGCACCAGGCAAGACAGAAACAAGUGGGACGAUGCUGUCCGCCUCACACACGCAGCCUUGCUGAAGAUUUGGACUUUUAUUGAGAAGAAGCAGAUGUUAAUGCAUUUAGCCGAGAAAUCCACGAGUAAAGUCGUCCGAUAAGUCAGGAUGCCUCAGGCUCUAUCAGAAACCCGACUGACCGCGUGGACUUCAUAGCUUGUGAAUUGAAGACCCACGGGCAGGGUGUGUUUCCGAGGGCAGGUGGUUUCGGGACUCUGCUCCAGCGGGCCCCAGGCUUCCUGCCCUGCAGUUCUCCGGUCGCUUUCCAGCUGCUGGUGUGAGCUGCAGGUGGAUCCCUGGGAAGCAGUGGCCGCAGCAGUUUGGGGCCUCGUCUCCCAAGCUGCGUCCUGUGCAGAGGGGAGUCUUCUCAGUCAGCCGUCACCGAGGCGUGGGUGGCUGCAUCUUACUGGCCAUAGUGCUAAUCUUGCAGCGACGGCUGUGACCAGGACCCUGCCCUGUGCCCACGGGUCAGGCUGGGUGGACGUCCACCCCUGGACCAGCCACCCUGUCCUUGGAGCAGAGGGUGAAGUGGAUGGGACGUGGAGCUCGCUGCAGAGAGGUGGGGCAGAACAGCUCCUGGAGGGCCCUGGACAGCAAGCCUGCCGGUCAGCGUGUCCCCGGGGGUCCAGUCUGGUUUAGUGCAGGCCCUGGGAGGACAGAGUGAGACGGGCCGCAGACCCCCCAGCUCAGGCUCGCGGGAGGCCCUGCACAGCCACUCCGGGAAGCUCCUCGUCCGCAGCAGCAAGGCCGGAGGGUCUCCAGGAGCCCCUGCAGGGCUGCCCUGAACCCCGAGUCUGUAUCCACUCAGCUGUGCCCCUCCCCCACUGGCCGCACAGCCUCCUCCUGGCCCUGCUGGCGGGUCGGCCUCCCAGGAAGGGCGUCCUGCCACGCGCUCUGGCUUCUCUGCCAUCAGAGGCCGGCAGGGAGGCCACCGUGCGGCGGGUGGGGCCACGUGACCACAGACUUUCCUGGUCCCGCCGUCGCUUCUCCAGCUCAGCGGCGGCCACCCCCUUGUAACUGAACUUGUGGGUAAAGACGGGGACGCCUCCCGCUUCUGUCUACUGUGAUGCAAUACCCCUCACGUCAUUGCCCCCGCUCAGAG
rnacentral:lncRNA from 1 species